rfam:Geobacillus sp. Y4.1MC1, complete genome.
GCUUCCAUAGCUCAGUUGGUAGAGCACUUCCAUGGUAAGGAAGAGGUCACCGGUUCAAGUCCGGUUGGAAGCU